GCCAAAGUAGUAGAAUAAAUAUUUAGGGUUUAGGUCUCUAAGGUGGGCAGAAUGGUCCUUUGGUA
rnacentral:tRNA from 1 species